rnacentral:rRNA from 1 species
UACGUAGGGUGCAAGCGUUGUCCGGAAUUAUUGGGCGUAAAGAGCUCGUAGGCGGUCUGUCGCGUCUGCUGUGAAAACUCGGGGCUUAACCCCGGGCCUGCAGUGGGUACGGGCAGACUAGAGUGCGGUAGGGGAGACUGGAAUUCCUGGUGUAGCGGUGAAAUGCGUAGAUAUCAGGAGGAACACCGGUGGCGAAGGCGGAUCUCUGGGCCGAUACUGACGCUGAGGAGCGAAAGCGUGGGGAGCGAACAGG